AGUGAACGCUAGUGGCGUGCUUAACACAUGCAAGUCGAACGGACGAUAUUUGUGCUUGCACAAAUAAAGUUAGUGGCAAACGGGUGAGUAAUACAUGAGAAUUUUCCUUGCAGUACGGAAUAACUAUUGGAAACAGUAGCUAAUACCGUAUAUUGCCGAGAGGUGAAAGAUUUAUCGCUGCAAGAUAAGCCCAUGCAAGAUUAGCUUGUUGGUAAGGUAAUGGCUUACCAAGGCUACGAUCUUUAGCUGGUUUGAGAGGAUGAUCAGCCACACUGGAACUUAGACACGGUCCAGACUCCUACGGGAGGCAGCAGUGAGGAAUAUUGGACAAUAGGCGAAAGCCUGAUCCAGCGACGUCACGUGAAUGAUGAAGGCCUGAAAUAGGUUGUAAACUUCUUUUACUGAGUAAUGAAUACUGACAACGCAGUAAAAAAGUAUCGGCUAACUCCGUGCCAGCCGCCGCAGUAAAAC
rnacentral:rRNA from 1 species